GAGAGGAUGAUCAGUCACACUGGAACUGAGACACGGUCCAGACUCCUACGGGAGGCAGCAGUGGGGAAUAUUGGACAAUGGGCGAAAGCCUGAUCCAGCCAUGCCGCGUGUGUGAAGAAGGUCUUCGGAUUGUAAAGCACUUUAAGUUGGGAGGAAGGGUUGUACGUUAAUACCGUGCAAUUUUGACGUUACCGACAGAAUAAGCACCGGCUAACUCUGUGCCAGCAGCCGCGGUAAUACAGAGGGUGCAAGCGUUAAUCGGAAUUACUGGGCGUAAAGCGCGCGUAGGUGGUUCGUUAAGUUGGAUGUGAAAUCCCCGGGCUCAACCUGGGAACUGCAUCCAAAACUGGCGAG
rnacentral:rRNA from 1 species